GGUACCUGAAGGGAGAUCGACCGUGUUCCAUUCGCUCCGCUGACUUCGAAUAAUAGAUGGUUGAUCUUUCCUCGGUAUC
rnacentral:pre_miRNA from 14 species